rnacentral:rRNA from 1 species
UACGUAAGGUGCAAGCGUUUUCCGGGAUUAUUGGGCGUAAAACGCUCGUCGGCGGUUUGUUUCGUCGGCUGUGAAAUCCCGAGGCUCAACCUCGGGUCUGCAGUCGAUACGAGCAAACUAGAGUGUUGCAGGGGAGACUGGAAUUCCUGGUGUAGCGGUGAAAUGCGCAGAUAUCAGGAGGAACACCGGUGGCGAAGGCGGGUCUCUGGGCAACAACUGACGCUGAGGAGCGAAAGCGUGGGGAGCGAACAGG